AAAUAAAAACCCUAAACAAUAUGCAAAUGCCGCACACUUGCCCCUUCCCUUCCCUCCUAUUCGAUUACUGGAAACCCAGCAACGUUUCCCGCCUCGAUCUGGCAACGUUUUCCGGCCAGCACACCCAUACCCAACCAUUAUCUAUUCGAUUGGAACUGUCACCUUCUCCUCUCUCUUCGGUACCGACACGCACACUCUCCUCUCACCUUACAGCCAACCAUCACUGAAGACGGCGGCGGCGAUGUGGCGGCAGCAAACGACGAUUAGCAGAGGCGACAGUGAUAUCAGGAGGUAUCGGCGACUGAUGGUGAUUGAAACUAUCUCAGGCCGUCAUCGGUGGUGGUGGUGACGGAUCAAACGUGACUGGUUCAGUUGACCGGGGCCCGGGCAUUUAUGGUUCGGACAGCAGGUAGUAGCUAAGGAGAACGCAGACUGGAGCCGAUGGCAGCGGCGGCUGUCGGAGCUCCGACACAGCCCCGUAGCAGUGGCAGCAGACGCCCCUCUUCGUAUCACGGUCUCUCGGGUAUGGUUGACCAACGUAACACAAGUAAAUGGCCUGCCAAGCAAAGCAAAGGUGAGUUCACAACUUUUUGCUUAAAGCAUGCGUUAUCGGUGGUUGGGAAACAAUACAAACAACACUUUCCCUGGUUUGGAAUUGCUUAUUAUCUAUCUCCUUGAGUGGGAUACGGGUAACACUUUCCCUUUGUGUGGGACAUUUUAUUAAUUACUAUUUGUAUUAGAUGCAACAAGUGUACUAAACGAAACUCUAUCAAGGAAGUCCCCACUUAUAUAUACCGAUUAGUCGUUGGGGCCU